GUCGAGCGGCAGCGGGGAGUAGCUUGCUACUCUGCCGGCGAGCGGCGGACGGGUGAGUAAAGUCUGGGGAUCUGGCUUAUGGAGGGGGAUAACCAUUGGAAACGGUGGCUAAUACCGCAUGAUGUCGCAAGACCAAAGUGGGGGACUUUAGGGCCUCACGCCAUAAGAUGAACCCAGAUGAGAUUAGCUAGUAGGUGCGGUAAUGGCGUACCUAGGCGACGAUCUCUAGCUGGUCUGAGAGGAUGACCAGCCACACUGGAACUGAGAAACGGUCCAGACUCCUACGGGAGGCAGCAGUGGGGAAUAUUGCACAAUGGGCGGAAGCCUGAUGCAGCCAUGCCGCGUGUGUGAAGAAGGCCUUAGGGUUGUAAAGCACUUUCAGCGGGGAGGAAGGCGGUAAGAGUAAUAUGCUUAUCGAUUGACGUUACCCGCAAAAGAAGCACCGGCUAACUCCGUGCCAGCAGCCGCGGUAAUACGGAGGGUGCGAGCGUUAAUCGGAAUAACUGGGCGUAAAGGGCAUGUAGGCGGUAAGUUAAGUCAGAUGUGAAAUCCCCGAGCUUAACUUGGGAACGGCAUUUGAGACUGGCUGGCUAGAGUUUUGUAGAGGGGGGUAGAAUUCCAGGUGUAGCGGUGAAAUGCGUAGAGAUCUGGAGGAAUA
rnacentral:rRNA from 1 species